AUUAACAAGGAUGACAUGCUUGCAGCAAUGCAGCAUGUACUACAGCUUUCACUGAGCUCAAACCACUGUUAGACAAUGCACUGGAAGAGCUAAAGCAAGCUGUUGCCAAUAACUCACCGAUGUCAGAACAGCAGUUAAAAGCGGCAUGCACAGCAUCUAUCAGUGAGAGAAAAGGUUUGCUACAGCAUGGAAACACUUCUCUUACAUUUUUAAAGUAAGGUCACUUCCAAAGUCAAAACAAGUUUGGCGGCCAUCUCGUCCUGAAGUGCAAGAUGCCGUUAUGCUUCAUGUCACUG